GUGAUGACUGCCCGAGAUGACUGCCCGGGAUGACUGCCUUAGAUGACUGCCCGAGAUGACUGCCCGAGAUGAUGUUACUUGGAAGACUUUUCUAUCUCGUUCGUUGACACACAUCAGCAAGAUGAGGUCACAUCGACGGUCGGUAAAUUUCGACCUCAAACAGGACGAGACAACGAAUGCUGACACGAACCAACCAACCACACAACCAAACUCAAACUAACCUAAAACAUUCAAACAUAUCUUUAGGCGGCGGCGAAGCUCCCGGGUAGACGAAGUGAAAAUCUCUCGCUCGACGGCAAGAACUCGCCUCUGGAAUUCUCGACCUUCCAUUGUGUUCUACUUUGCACGAGAUGAUUGCCCGAGAUGACUGCCCGAGAUGACUGUCAAUUUACAUCCUGUGGACAAGUGCUGCAAGGCCAACGCCAUCCAGAAUAUGGAGUCCUAAUCAUUUUGUUCUAUUAUUGCUAGCCAAGGAACUGCCAACGAUGACCUUCUCGGAGCAGAAAAAAAGCUAUUCGGAGGCAUGUCAUUUAGUGUUAUCAGUUAACUGGACUUUGUGAGAGUUUUCUUGCAAAAUGUUUGCCAAGGUGGCGAUCGAAGGUGGACAGCAAGAUCGAAGCUCAGCAAGAUUGAAGAUUGUUCGAGGAAGAAGGAGUUCGCCGUUGACUAAAAGUUUUAUCUGAACAGCUAGUUGUCAAGAUGAACGUGAAGAGAAAAAAGAUGAAAUCAGUUCAAGACUCGCCCGGCCAAAUUCAAAAUGGCGAUGCCAAAGAAAACCAUACAC